rnacentral:pre_miRNA from 1 species
GCAGAAGAGCUUCUCUCCAUUGGCAGGCGAAUUAUGGUUUAGCUUUCAUGUCCUGCCAAAGGAGAGUUGCCCUUCAUCUAGU